GGAGGUAGAGCUACUGGAUGGACGAUGGGCCCUACAAGGUUAUUGACUUCAGCCAAACUCCGAAUGCCGGGAAGUGAGAGCGUGGCAGUGAGACUGCGGGCGAUAAGGUUCGUAGUCGAGAGGGAAACAGCCCAGAUCGCCGGUUAAGGCCCCUAAGGGUGUGCUAAGUGGAAAAGGAUGUGGGAUCGCGAAGACAGCCAGGAGGUUGGCUUAGAAGCAGCCAUCCUUGAAAGAGUGCGUAAUAGCUCACUGGUCGAGUGGUCCUGCGCCGACAAUGUAGUG
rnacentral:rRNA from 1 species